UUAUCAAGUGCACCGGGUAAAUGUCUCCCUUUUACAGGUUAUGUCUAAACGCUUUAAUCCGCAGGCAAACAUACUCCUUGGACAUAAAGGACACCGCGGUACAAGAGCUACACGCAGUCCCGGCUGCUGACGGUUGUAACGGCAGCCAAACGCUCCGCUUGCCACGACUGUCCGGGACAGGCAACGCAAUCCGGAGCAGCAAACGCCUGUUGGGUUUAUCAGUGUCAUUACAGUCGUGUCGCUCAGGAUAAGGGCACGGCACACGGUGCAGAUAACCGUGCUUGUCUUACGUGCCCAGACCAUAGCGGGAAGUCACCCUUGAGGCCAAGGAUACGGGAACCCUUCACACAGAGCUUCUGUUAUCAGUUGCAAUCACCACAGCACCUAACAAGCCA